CAAAAUGAGCAUACACGUACCUGCUGCAUUUUGGUCCUCAUUCACCAACGACAACCGUGACAGAAUCACCCACCUCUCAAGGACCAAGCAGCAGAGGAAGGAGCAGACGGUUUUCGAAGAGGACAAACGAGAGAGAUGGACUUGGGAGGAGAUCUUGGAGGGAGAAGGCUCCUACACUUGGGAGGAAAUCCAAGCAGGGAAAGAUCGCCUUCCUUGGAAACAGGUGGUACGCGAGAGAGAGGAAAGGAGUAAGGCGGGUAUGGACCGGGAACGUUUCCGAGGGACAAGACUGGCGUUGAAGCACGAGAGGCACCCCCAAGAAAAUUUUGGGGGGGGGCACACGGGUAGUUUGGCUAGGCCUAGGAAGAGCCGGAGGCCAGCUACCCGUGGUUAUAUGGAGGAGCGUAUGAGGUGGGGAGCGCCAUGUUUCGCUGAGAAGCGCAAUAUCUCACCCAUACGCACGCACAGUCCGGUGCGAGUUAUUCCAGCCCCUCGCAGGUGCCGUGCUAGAGCGGGCAUCCAGCCUGGUAGGAGGAUGCCUGCGCAGCGCAUCUGGUCGCCGGUACGCCUCCGAGGACCAGGCUACCCAACUCCCGCUCUACGCACGGCUACCAUCAAGCCCCUGCACAGCCCAGUCUGCCCUGUACGAGCACUCCGCUCGUGCAGGGCUACUAGUUCCAUCGAGCCAAGGCGGGUUGUGCAGGAGGUAAGAUCUAGACCGGCUGUGCGCCUCCAUAGCCCUGGGUUUCCAGCUCCUGUCUCUCGUGCGGACCCGGAAGUGCGUCCACCCAGUCCGACUCGUCCUGUUCCCGCUCCCCGCACUAAACGGCAAGUGCGUAAACCCAGCCUCGCCAGUCAACAGUCGUCGGAGCUGCCCGCCAGUCAACAGUCGUCGGAGCUGCCCGCCAGUCAACAGUCGUCGGAGCUGCCCGUCAGUCAACAGUCGUCGGAGCUGCCCGUCAGUCAACAGUCGUCGGAGCUGCCCGUCAGUCAACAGUCGUCGGAGCUGCCCGUCAGUCAACAGUCGUCGGAGCUGCCCGUCAGUCAACAGUCGUCGGAGCUGCCCGUCAGUCAACAGUCGUCGGAGCUGCCCGUCAGUCAACAGUCGCCGGAGCUGCCCGUCAGUCAACAGUCGCCGGAGCUGCCCGUCAGUCAACAGUCGCCGGAGCUGCCCGUCAGUCAACAGUCGCCGGAGUGGCCAGACUGCGCUGAACUGCCGGAGUGGCCAGACUGCGCUGAACUGCCGGAGUGGCCAGACUGCGCUGAACUGCCGGAGUGGCCAGACUGCGCUGAACUGCCGGAGUGGCCAGACUGCGCUGAACUGCCGGAGUGGCCAGACUGCCCUGAACUGCCGGAGUGGCCAGACUGCCCUGAACUGCCGGAGUGGCCAGACUGCCCUGAACUGCCGGAGUGGCCAGACUGCCCUGAACUGCCGGAGUGGCCAGACUGCCCUGAACUGCCGGAGUGGCCAGACUGCCCUGAACUGCCGGAGUGGCCAGACUGCCCUGAACUGCCGGAGUGGCCAGACUGUCCCGAG
rnacentral:lncRNA from 1 species